AUCCAACUGACGAGUCCCAAAGGAGACAAAAUGUGCAUCUUGGAU
rnacentral:hammerhead_ribozyme from 1 species